rnacentral:rRNA from 1 species
GAUGAACGCUGGCGGCGUGCCUAAUACAUGCAAGUCGAGCGAACAGAUGAGGAGCUUGCUCCUCUGACGUUAGCGGCGGACGGGUGAGUAACACGUGGAUAACCUACCUAUAAGACUGGGAUAACUUCGGGAAACCGGAGCUAAUACCAGAUAAUAUAUUGAACCGCAUGGUUCAAUAGUGAAAGACGGUUUUGCUGUCACUUAUAGAUGGAUCCGCGCCGCAUUAGCUAGUUGGUAAGGUAACGGCUUACCAAGGCAACGAUGCGUAGCCGACCUGAGAGGGGGAUCGGCCACACUGGAACUGAGACACGGUCCAGACUCCUACGGGAGGCAGCAGUAGGGAAUCGUCCGCAAUGGGCGAAAGCCUGACGGAGCAACGCCGCGUGAGUGAUGAAGGUCUUCGGAUCGUAAAACUCUGUUAUUAGGGAAGAACAAAUGUGUAAGUAACUAUGCACGUCUUGACGGUACCUAAUCAGAAAGCCACGGCUAACUACGUG